GCAUCGAUGAUCUAGAGGCAUGAUAUUGGCCUUCCAAGCCAAUAGCCCGGGUUCGAUUCCCGGUCGAUGCA
rnacentral:tRNA from 1 species